rnacentral:tRNA from 1 species
GCCUCGGUAGCUCAGACUGGUAGAGCGCCCGGCUGUUAACCGGUAGGUCGGCAGUUCAAAUCUGCCCCGAGGCG